GGCGCGCAAAUUACCCAAUCCCGACUCGGGGNGNUANNGNCANUAAAUAACAAUGCCGGGNUAUCGUAGUCUGGCAAUUGGAAUGAGUACAACCUAAACCCCUUAACGAGGAACAAUUGGAGGGCAAGUCUGGUGCCASCAGCCGCGGUAAUUCCAGCUCCAAUAGCGUAUAUUAAAGUUGUUGCAGUUAAAAAGCUCGUAGUUGGAUUUCGGGGCAGUCCGUCUGGUCCGCCGCGAGGCGAGCACUGGUCGGGCGCCCUUCCUCUCGGAGGCCCCGACUGCUCUUGGUUGCAGUGGUCGGGGAGUUCGGGACGUUUACUUUGAAAAAAUUAGAGUGUUCAAGGCAGGCCGCCGCCUGAAUACAUUAGCAUGGAAUAAUGGAAGAGGACCUCGGUCCUAUUUUGUUGGUUUCCAGGGCCGAAGUAAUGAUUAAGAGGGACAGUUGGGGGCAUUCGUAUUUAANNGUCAGAGGUGAAAUUCU
rnacentral:rRNA from 1 species